GACGAACGCUGGCGGCGUGCUUAACACAUGCAAGUCGAACGGAAAGGCCCUGCUUUUGUGGGGUGCUCGAGUGGCGAACGGGUGAGUAACACGUGAGUAACCUGCCCUUGACUUUGGGAUAACUUCAGGAAACUGGGGCUAAUACCGGAUAGGAGCUCCUGCUGCAUGGUGGGGGUUGGAAAGUUUCGGCGGUUGGGGAUGGACUCGCGGCUUAUCAGCUUGUUGGUGGGGUAGUGGCUUACCAAGGCUUUGACGGGUAACCGGCCUGAGAGGGUGACCGGCCACAUUGGGACUGAGAUACGGCCCAGACUCCUACGGGAGGCAGCAGUGGGGAAUAUUGCACAAUGGGCGGAAGCCUGAUGCAGCAACGCCGCGUGCGGGACGACGGCCUUCGGGUUGUAAACCGCUUUCGCCUGUGACGAAGCGUGAGUGACGGUAAUGGGUAAAGAAGCACCGGCUAACUACGUG
rnacentral:rRNA from 1 species